GCACGGUGGUUCAUGCCUAUAAUCCCAGUGCUUUGGAAGGAGGGAAGAUUGCUUGAGACCAGGAGUUGGGACCACUUUGAACAACAUAGCAAAACUUUGUCUCUACCAAAAGGUUUUUUUCCAUAUCUGAGUUUGGUAGCAUGCACCUGUAAUAAUCUUGGCUACUUGGCAGACUGAGGGAAAGACCAUGUGAGCACACAGGAAGAUGAACACCUUUUGCCAGCCAAGAAGAAAGCCCUCACAAGCAACCAAAUAGGCCAGCACCCUGAUUUUGGACUUCCCAGCUUCAAGAAGUGAGAGUAAAAAGUUUGUAUUCUUCAAGUCAUCCGGGUUACAAGCAGAGUAAGGCAGCUUCUUCCACUUGUUCAAAAUUCUACAUUUUAAAUUUUUAUGAUGUGUUUUGGUUGUUUUAAGUGCAACUUUGCAGUAUUUCUUAUGCUUUGGUGGCAUUUUCAGAAUACCAAAUAAAAGCAGGUUGAACAAUAAAGACAUUUAUUUUCUCAGUAAAACAAA